AGUGAUUAAUUGAAGGCCUCUGUGCCCUCUUGUUUAUUUUAAAAGAACAAGGGGAAGCUUCAUUUGCAUGAGAUUUAAGGAAAAGGCUUCUGAGGUUCUUUGGUUAUUUGCAGACUUUCGUUCCAAGUGGAAACUGAUGUUUCUAUUGAUGCAGUGCCUCACUUGGUGUUGGACGUUUCUAUUGAUGCAGUGCCUCACUUGGUGUUGGACGGCAGGGGAAAGAAUUUGAAAUCAGCUCUAUGCCAUGAGGGACUGUAGUGCCAGGAGGCCCUAGCUGGCUGCAGGUCUUCACGCUGGUAUCAGCAUAAUGCCACACUGCCCAUCCCAGUCUCUGACCCAACAGAUGUUCCUUCCUGGUAGGAAUAUAUUAGUUGGUGCCCCCCAGCACAUAGCUGUAUAUUUUCAGUUGUGGGUCCCUCCAGCUGUGGCAUGCAGGAUGCCGCCCCAGCAUGGCCUGACAAGCGAUGCCGUGUCCACACCCGGGAUCCAAACUGGUGUAACCUGGGGCCACCAAAGUGGAGCGCAUGAACCCAACUACUCAGCCAUGGGGCCGGCCCCUAUUAUGCUUAUUUUUUUCUACUCAAUCCCCCACCCCUUCCCCAUUGAAAUAUAUAGCCACCACAAGGCAAAGAUCUUUUUCUGUUUACUCACUCAUCAAAUGCCUGAUAUCAUGCCCAGUAUUUAGUAGUUAAUUAAUAUUUGUUGAAAAAAUAAAUGGAUUAUUUCUAUAAAUCUCUUUUAGAAAAAUAAAAUGCAUCACACAAAAAUUAUAAAAUAGAAACAAUGAAGUUGGCUUAAAAAUAUUUGUUUUUAUAAUUCAAAGAAUUAUAUAGGGACAGCGUAAGGUGAUUUGUGGCAGGGUAAUGAAAUUAUUUCUUAUCUUGACUGAAGUGAUAGUUACAUGACUGUAUAUUUGUCAGAAUUCAUGGAACUGUUCACAAAAAAAAGAGUAAUUUUACCGUAUAUAAAUUUUUGAAAAAGAAAUUAAAAAGUAGAUCUAUA
rnacentral:lncRNA from 1 species